UACGUAGGGUGCAAGCGUUGUCCGGAAUUAUUGGGCGUAAAGAGCUCGUAGGCGGUCUGUCACGUCGGCUGUGAAAUCCCGAGGCUCAACCUCGGGUCUGCAGUCGAUACGGGCAAACUAGAGUAUUGCAGGGGAGACUGGAAUUCCUGGUGUAGCGGUGAAAUGCGCAGAUAUCAGGAGGAACACCGGUGGCGAAGGCGGGUCUCUGGGCAAUGACUGACGCUGAGGAGCGAAAGCGUGGGGAGCGAACAGG
rnacentral:rRNA from 1 species